AAUGAACGCUGGCGGCGUGCCUAAUACAUGCAAGUCGAGCGAAUGGAUUAAGAGCUUGCUCUUAUGAAGUUAGCGGCGGACGGGUGAGUAACACGUGGGUAACCUGCCCAUAAGACUGGGAUAACUCCGGGAAACCGGGGCUAAUACCGGAUAACAUUUUGAACCGCAUGGUUCGAAAUUGAAAGGCGGCUUCGGCUGUCACUUAUGGAUGGACCCGCGUCGCAUUAGCUAGUUGGUGAGGUAACGGCUCACCAAGGCAACGAUGCGUAGCCGACCUGAGAGGGUGAUCGGCCACACUGGGACUGAGACACGGCCCAGACUCCUACGGGAGGCAGCAGUAGGGAAUCUUCCGCAAUGGAAGAAAGUCUGACGGAGCAACGCCGCGUGAGUGAUGAAGGCUUUCGGGUCGUAAAACUCGGUUGUUAGGGAAGAACAAGUGCUAGUUGAAUAAGCUGGCACCUUGACGGUACCUAACCAGAAAGCCACGGCUAACUACGUGCCAGCCGCCGCCGUAA
rnacentral:rRNA from 1 species